UACGGAGGGUGCAAGCGUUGUUCGGAAUUACUGGGCGUAAAGGGCGUGUAGGCGGUGCGGUAUGUUGGACGUGAAAUCCCCCGGGCUCAACUCGGGGCGGUCGUUCAAAACUGCCGUGCUAGAGUGUGGGAGAGGGAAGUGGAAUUCCCGGUGUAGCGGUGAAAUGCGUAGAUAUCGGGAAGAACACCUGUGGCGAAGGCGGCUUCCUGGCCCGCAACUGACGCUGAGGCGCGAAAAGCUAGGGGAGCAAACAGG
rnacentral:rRNA from 1 species